rnacentral:rRNA from 1 species
GUGGAUUAGAUUCCCCGGUAGUCCACGCUGUAAACGAUGGGCACUAGGUGUCCGGGGUAUUGACCCCCUGGGUGCCGCAGCUAACGCAUUAAGUGCCCCGCCUGGGGAGUACGGUCGCAAGAUUAAAACUCAAAGGAAUUGACGGGGGCCCGCACAAGCGGUGGAGCAUGUGGUUCAAUUCGACGCAACGCGAAGAACCUUACCUGGGCUAGACAACGGUGGACCGUCCUAGAAAUAGGAUUUUCCCUUCGGGGACUGCCGGUUCAGGUGCUGCACGGCCGUCGUCAACU